CAGCAGCCACGGUAAUACAGAGGGUGCAAGCGUUAAUCGGAAUUACUGGGCGUAAAGCGCGCGUAGGUGGUUUGUUAAGUUGGAUGUGAAAUCCCCGGGCUCAACCUGGGAACUGCAUCCAAAACUGGCAAGCUAGAGUAUGGUAGAGGGUGGUGGAAUUUCCUGUGUAGCGGUGAAAUGCGUAGAUAUAGGAAGGAACACCAGUGGCGAAGGCGACCACCUGGACUGAUACUGACACUGAGGUGCGAAAGCGUGGGGAGCAAACAGGAGUAGAGACCCCCGUAGUCCCUGUCUCUUAUAA
rnacentral:rRNA from 1 species